rnacentral:rRNA from 1 species
GUCCACGCCGUAAACGAUGGAUACUAGCUGUUGGGAGCAAUUUCAGUGGCUAAGCGAAAGUGAUAAGUAUCCCACCUGGGGAGUACGGGCGCAAGCCUGAAACUCAAAGGAAUUGACGGGGGCCCGCACAAGCGGUGGAGCAUGUGGUUUAAUUCGAUGAUACGCGAGGAACCUUACCAAGGCUUAAAUGUAGAUUGACCGGUUUGGAAACAGAUCUUUCGCAAGACAAUUUACAAGGUGCUGCAUGGUUGUCGU